rnacentral:rRNA from 1 species
UACGAAGGGUGCAAACGUUGCUCGGAAUUAUUGGGCGUAAAGCGCACGUAGGCGGCUUGGCAAGUCGGAUGUGAAAUCCCUCGGCUCAACCAAGGAAGUGCAUCCGAAACUGCUGAGCUUGAGUACUUAAGAGGAUCGCGGAAUUCCCGGUGUAGAGGUGAAAUUCGUAGAUAUCUGGAGGAACACCGGUGGCGAAGGCGGCAUCCUGGACCGAGAUUGACGCUGAGGCGCGAAAGCCAGGGGAGCAAACGGG